rnacentral:lncRNA from 1 species
GUGUCGCCAGAUCCCCCAGCCCAGGGCGAGCGGAGCGCGUCCUCUCUAGCAGGGCACCGGGCAGCCUCGGCGGCACGCCGCCUCUGUGCGCUCCUCCUCUCGGGCUCGGUGCCUUCUUCGCCCGGGAUAGCAAGCGGAGGGCCGAUCAGGACCCUCGCAUGCCGGGGACCUCCAGGCACCAGGGGACCCGGGACGCACGCAGGCAGGCUCGCACGCGGCUCGCCCGGUGGUGGCGGCGGCGGCGGCGCGCGCUGCUCCCCCUCCCCCGCCGCCGGUCGGGAGCGAGCCGCCGUGACGUCACGGGCCACCCGCCAGCCCCGCGCUCCGCCGGGCAGAGCGCGUGCAGCGCCGCCGCCGCCGCCGCCGCCGCCGAGCACAUGGACCCGCUGGCCGAGCGGGCUCCGCAAGGCCGGGCAUGAAGAGGAGCUGCGGACCAGGAUGCCACCCGGCGCCCCCAAAGCCCCCCGAGUGGACAUCCACGCGGAAAGGAUGUUGGCAGCCCGGGUGACCUGGGAGUCAUGGCUGAAUCCACCCUCCCCACGCCUGUUAAGCAUUGCAGAAGGACUUGAGAGUCAUCCUUUCCUAAGAUAAAGCUGGAGUAUUUGGGGAUUUGGAAAAUCGAGGUAAGCAAGGGAUGGUUUCUUUCUAAGUCUUGUGGAAACAAAAUUGAACUUUGAGAUGGGUAGUCUGUGUAGCAGCAUUUGGGGCAUGUUUUAGUGUUCUUUACAGGUCUUCCUAUGGCAAUUCAGAGUGCUUGGGAAGCUGACUUCCCAUUCAUCCAUAUCCUGGCUCUCUUUCUCAGCAUUUUUUUUCUAUUUGCUUGACCAUAGUGCUUGGCACACACCCCCUACUCCUACUUGGAGAAACCAUUGCCUCAUGGGAGAAUCAGUUGUGUUGAUUUGCUGUGGGUGACUGCUGGUAAAGGGUCCGGUAAUAAGGUCAGAACACAGUUGAGACAUUCCUUCUUUUGCCUAGCACAACCCGUGUUUUCUCCUCUAACUCCGUCUUGUGUUAGAGUCUCACUAAGUCUGUAUCUACCCUGGUGAGGUUAAGACGUGACAUCCAAGACUUUCUACAGACCCUUGUCUACUUGUCUGUGCUCCGUUGAGUCUUGCUGAGCCUAGAGUGUUAUCUGGUAGAACUAUGUAUUUCGUGAGUUGCUUCCUACUCCGGUGCUGUGGGCAUUGGAUGAAAGAGAAGAGGGAUCAAGCUUAGUGAACCAUCUGAUAUACCAGAGGAAAUGCCUCAGAAACAAAAGAGGGAUUGUUCUUGAUUAAUGACAAUUAAUGACUCACAAGUGCAUCUUGGGGAUGAGCUCGCUUCCCUUCUGUCUUAGUUAGGGUUUCUAUUGCUGCAACAAAGCACCAGGACCAAAAAGCAAGUUGGGGAGGAAAGGGUUGGUUAGGCUUACGCUUCAGCAUUGCUCUUCAUCACAGAAGGAAGUCAAGACUGGAACUCAAAUAGGGCCAAAACCCGGACAAAGGAGCUGAAGUAGAGCCCCCGGAGGGGAGGGGAACUUCUUACUGGCUUACUCCCUAUGGCUUGUUCAGCCACCUUCUUAUAGAACCCAGGGAUGACACCAUCCGCCAUGGGCUGGGCCCUCCCGCAUUGAUCACUAAAUGAGAAAAUGCCUUACAGCUGGAUCUCACGGAGGCAUUUCCUCAGCUGAAGCUCCUUCCUCUCUGAUGACUCCAGCUUGCGUCAAGUUGACACAAAACCAGCCAGGGCACCUUCCUACCCUUCCUACUCUCCAGAUGCUGACUAGAUAUAGUUAUCUGGUCUUACACUGCCUAUCAUCUAGAACCAUGAGCUAAGAAUGAAUCCCUUUUAAUUAAUAAACUAUCAGAGCUAAGGCGCUGUACGAACUAG